UCUUUUACCCCUUCCAGUCUCUCUCCGCAGCCACCAACUCCCAAUACAUCUUACCUCAUCUUCUCAUACUUGCGGCUUUUAUUGCCUGAAUUCUCCCUCUAGAAUCUCAGUCCCCGUCAGAACACCCAGCCAGCGGUGUGAUGGACAAGCCCCACAGAAUUGCCCAGAUAUUGACUAAGCACAAGGGCCCCAGCCCUUCUCUUGGCCCUCAGAUAAAAGCAGAAAAGGAAGCACGAAGUUCAGCUCCAGCAACGUAAGAGUUAAAUAACCCGGAUCUACCCUUCUUGCCAGCGCCUGCUUCCCUGCUUCCAUCUGGCCAAGACCCUCCGCCCCGCGGUGGUCCUUGAACAGACACAACCAGCCAUCUGCCAGGCCCAUUCCUGGGUCUGUGGCAUCUCCCAUCAUGCACUUGGAGGUGUUCACUAAUUGAUGGA